ACACGUGGCGGGUGGAAGGCUCCGCUGUGUCUAACCCUAAUCGGAGGUAUUGAUGGUACUGUCGCCGCGCUCCCUCCGCCCGCUGUUUACUCGCUGACUUUCAGCGGGCUAGGGGAGCCGCCCCAGGGGGCGCCGCGGGGGGGAGGGGGUGGGGCGGACGCGGGAGAAAGGACCGAAAGGGGCUCCACGGCAAACAAAAAAAAAAAAACGUCAGCGAGGGGUCCUCUCGCCCCCAUCCGCCCUGGGGUCCUCGCCCGCAGGCCGCGGUCGGCCGGCACCCGCCAUUGCCGCCGCGAAGAGUUCGCCUCUGUCAGCCUCGGCGGGGCCCGGGAGAUGCGGAGCGCGGCCCCGCGCCCCCAGCAGAGCAACACGGGAGCGGCGCCCCCGGGGCAACCCCCGCGCCCCCCUGCGCCGUGGGGCGCGCGGACGGCGUCGCUCCCACACGC
rnacentral:telomerase_RNA from 14 species